rnacentral:lncRNA from 1 species
GUACUAUUUUUAUCCAAAAUAUUAUGAAGUUUCUAAGAUAGAAGCAAUGAUUUACUCAUGUGUUAAUAAACUUGUAUGUGAUGUGCUUAUAAACUUUUAUUUUAAUAAAACCUAAGUUUACUAUAAAUAUCUAAUAAAUUUUCAUAGAUAUAUAUAGGUACUCUUAUAAAUACCUGUAUGAUUAGAUAGAAGUAGAUAAAAGUAGAUAAAAGUAAAUUAAUUUCAUAAUAUCUUUGUGAGGAUAAAUUUUUCCCUCAUCUCGAAUUACAAGAUGGCCUCAAUUAAGAGUUACUUGUGAUUGGUGGU